rnacentral:lncRNA from 1 species
UAGAAGUUGAUGUGAGCAUGUGAUUUUUCCCUAUACGAAAUACUCCUAUAAAAUCCUAAGAAAAUAGAUUUUUUCUUAAUUAUUUGGCAUUUUUUAGGAAUUUUUGUAGAAUUCUAUUAAUUGUUUGCAUUUCUGUGCACGUAUAAUUUUAUUAAGAUCAUGAAAAACUGUCAUGCAUUGUAUUUAGGUUUGUUUUUACAUUUUAGGAUUAAUUAAUUAAUUAUUUUCUUUAUUAAAACUGAAAAUUACAAAAACAACCAUUAGAUCUUGGCAAUCUAACGGCUCGGAACUGAUGAGGUUUGUAAUAUAUAACUGUCCGAAGCUAUCCCCCCCCACUUUGGAACCCCCAUUUCACUCUCAUAUCUCUAAACAAAUCAAAUCCUAGCCGCCUAGGAUUCCCUCGCAGGCUCCGCCGCUGACCACUCGCCGGAAAUCGCCCACAGCGGUGCUGGUACUCCAAACACCACCAUUUUUACACCAUAAAACCCUAAUCCCUUCCUCAUUCUGAAUCCCCAACUGGCUCUCCUUGAAUCCCUGCCGAAUUUGCUCGAAUUUUAGAUCGAAAUCAUGCCUAAAAACCCUAAUUUUUCCAAACCGGCCCAAAUUCACACCCUAUAAUCCCUGCACCCCUUCGAACCCGAAACCACCAUUAUCCCCUUUCGAAUCAUCCCUAGCCGAGUUGAAUUUUGAAUAAAAAAUUCCAAGGAAAACCCUAAUCUCUUUUCUCGGUCAAUAUUCAGAGCCUGUGAACCCAAACAUCCUUUAGCUGGUUGUUCUCGUUAAGAACAACCAGUCAAUGGCUGUAUAAGUUCAUUGGCCGUCUCAUGCAAGAAGUUUCAUUAACUGGCCCAGUCCAAAAUAGCUUUAGGUACUCCUUUCUCAUUUUUAUUUUUGUUUUUGUUCUCUUUCUUUCUUUUCUUCUUUCAAUGCUAGCUUCUAUUUUCUUCCCCUUGUUUUUAGCAUAUAUAGAUAAGUGACAGGUUUCCCUGAUUGGUUGCCAACUUGUCCUUAAAAGCAUACUGAAUCUCACAAUUAGCUAAGUUUCAAUUACAUGGUUUUAGUUUAAUUAGGGUUCGUUUGAUGCUUACUCUGUUUUUUCUCCAUGAUUUCAUUAUACAGUCAGUUUUAUUUGAGUAAAUUAACAAGCUAUUUAGGUUGUUUGUUGCUUUAAUUGCUUAAGUUUAAAAAUUGAUAUAGGUUGAAUUUUAGGUUUUCUUUGCAUCUUUAAUUUGUUGUGAUUACUGUUAAGUGUAUUAGUUGUUAGACUUAAUUCUUGUUUAGGUUUAAUUAGCUAAGUAUUUUUGUUUAUUGGUUAAUUUAGUUUUAGGUUCAUAAUUGCAGUCACAUGAUUCUCUUAGGCCUUUUUGAUUUGAAUUUCUGAUCUUUUCUAGGUUUGUCUUUGUUUGCCCGAUUUGAAAAUCAAUAGGAACUUUAGGGGCUUAACUGAACCAAAAAGUUUAGGUAAAGAUGAAAUAAGCAGAAUUUAGAGGGGCAAAUUGGGGUUUUACAUUGAGGGAAUAUCAGAAUGUUCUAAGAAUAUCACAGUUGUCCUUAUCCUAAGCAUAAAAUGUUGGAAUUUGAUAAAAAAAGGACGGACAACUGUAUAAAAAUGUUGUACUAUUCUACAGUAUAAGGAAUUAGGUUAGAAUAUUUCUUUCUUGGGAUAUUUUUUGUGCACUCUAUAAAAGAGAAACUUUCCCUCAGUCUCACACACUUUUCAGCAUCAUUUUACUGCAAAAACUCUCUCUCCCUUCCUUUCUGAAAAACCAGACUUCAGAAAUUUUAGGAAAAACUUCAAAAAAAAAAACUUCUUGCUUUUGGUUUUCACAAGCUAGAAAUAAUGGUUUGAAUUCAUAGGAUCUUUCUUGAGUGUCUUGGUUGGGAUUUCUGGGUUCAAGUUGUGAGUUUUUACUAUUUCUUUAGCUAGGAUAUUUGUUGGUUGAAACUCUGGGUUUUUCUUGCUGAUUUCUGGUUGAAAACGUCCAAUUAGCUUUUGUUUGAUUGCUGUUGAUCUAAGCUCUGAAAUCAGCCUUGGUUUUCUGACCUUUAUUUGGUCAUUCCUCAACUAUAUUUUUCAGUUUCCAGGUAUGUAACAAUGUUCAUCCUAAAUGGAAUUAAUUUUGAGCUCAAAAAUCUAUGUUUGGAACUUAUUUUGGUUGACUGAACAUUUGAUGUUAGUUUUUGGGAAUCAUGACUGGGUUUAAUUUAGAGUAGAUUGAACCAUUUGUUAAUGUUAGUUUAACUGGCUGUUGAAUUUAAUCAUGAAAUCUCUGAUGUUAUGCUGCACAUGUGUUAAAACUUAACAAGGUUGAUUGCUGAAUCAAUGUAUAUACCUAUGAAAACUAUGUUCAAAUGGCUCUUUUAUGGUAGCACAAAAGGAAAAAAUGAAUCUGACCCUUUAAAUGGUCAGAUUCAUUCCUUAACAGUGCAUAAUAGUCUUGACUCCUUUAGUAUAUGUCUAAGUUAUUUUCCUUUCCCCUUUUUCUUCAUUACUAAGAUGAGAACUAUGGAGUAAAUCAUGGUUUGGAAAUCUUUGCUUGUCUGUAGGGCUGACCUUAAAACAUGGUUAGACUUAUGGACAACAUUGUUUUCCUUUACUCAUUUUUGUAUUAGGAUUAACUUGGUAACAUUGUAGGUUCCAACAUUUGAAGAUACUUUGCGAAUCUGACCCUUUCAUAUGGUUAGACCCAUGAGGAUCUUGGUUUGUUUAAAGCUGGAGCAGUAGCAGUUUAGGAAACUUCCUCUUUUCAUUUUGUUGUAAUUUAGUUUGAGGUAUUGAUGUAAUUUAUAUUUUGUACCCCUAUUUAAUUCCGGAAUUUGUAAUAAAUUGGAUUGGACUUUAUAAACUUAUAGACUAGUUAAUGCAGCUCCGGUAGUUUAUUUAGCCAAAUUCUAAAUGUAUAUUAGUAUGCUAUGUUUAAAAAAGGCAACAUUUGGCUACUGAGUUUUGUUUAGUUGUUUAAUUCCUG